AUGUACAUUGAUCAUGUUGAGGGUAACCAUAUGUACAUUUGAUCAUGUUGAGGGUAACCAUAUGUACAUUUGAUCGCGUUGAAGGUAACCAUAUGUGCAUUUGAUCAUUUAAGAUAUGAAAUGCAUGAACAUUUAAUCAUCUGGGCUGCUUUACACUACAAUGUCAUCCUAGCACUACGACCCCCGGAAGUCCACGUCAUGGGAUGGGAGUUAAUCCUAGAGCUAAGAUGGCUUUGUGCAAGCCGACCCAGGACGUAAAAUGAAUUUACAUUUGAUCAUUUUGAUGCCAAAUCCAUUUAUAUUUCAUUGUGUUGAUGGUCAUUGAAUUUACAUUUGAUCGUGCUGUUCCUGGUCUUGAAUGACAGUAAUAUUUUUAAUGUGGCUAAGUUAGUGAUACUUGCAUCUUAUAUGCAUCUUUAUAUUGUCAAUACUUUCUUUAAAAAUACAUCAACAAAAGGAAGCGACGCUGAAGCUCCUGAACAUCCACACUAGAGUUAUUUUGCUGUGUGAUGAUGUUAUCCCAGCAUUCAUCUACAUCCAUUUUGCCCCUACCAGCAGCAGUUUUAACUGGAUUGUAUAUGUUGAUAGGAUUGUCAGGAAUGUUCCAGUGGAUUGUAUAUGUUGAUAGGAUUGUCAGGAAUGUUCUAGUGGAUUGUAUAUGUUGAUAGGAUUGUCAGGAAUGUUCUAGUGGAUUGUAUAUGUUGAAAGGAUUGUCAGGAAUGUUCUAGUGGAUUGUAUAUGUUGAAAGGAUUGUCAGGAAUGUUCCAGUGGAUUGUAUACGUUGAAAGGAUUGUCAGGAAUGUUCCAGUAUAUUGUAUAUGUUGAUAGGAUUGAAAGGAAUGUCCCAGUGGAUUGUACAUGUUGAUAGGAUUGUCAGGAAUGUUCCAGUGGAUUGUAUAUGUUGAUAGGAUUGAAAGGAAUGUCCCAGUGGAUUGUAUAUGUUGAUAGGAUUGUCAAGAAUGUUCCAGUGGAUUGUAUAUGUUGAAAGGAUUG